UGCUUUUAAAAUAUAGCUGAGUUAAAGUUAAUUUUAUUUAUUAAAGUUGGUAUUAGUGUAAAGCUUUUGUUGCUUAGCUUAACAAGAACAUUAAACUUUGGGGUAAUCUCUGACUCAUCUCUUUCAAUGAUUGGCCAGUAAUUAUAGAUAGGGAAUACUGGAAAGCAACAUGGAUCUGGAUCCCCUGUGUGAGAACAUGCAACUUUAAUGUGAGAACGUGAGUAUACGAUGGUCAAAUGACUAUGAAGUGCAGAGGUGCUCAAUAGUUUGUUAGCCAUGUUGCCUGCUGAGCAUCGAUAAACAGGAAGACAACAAGGACAUGCAAUGCUAGCAACAAGUUAGCUACCACCACAAUUUUGAAGUAGUGAUAAGUAUAAGUGAUAUCUUUAGAUAUCUGCAGUAACUGUAAUGUGAUAUGAACAUAUUUGUGACUUCUAUUGGUGACAUGGUUACAGAUGCUGCUAAUAUUGCUAUGAUUUGUUGCCUACAUUUAUACUUGAGGGAAAUGUCAAGUUAGAGUCUAGUGAAAAAAAAAGAUAAUUUUUUCCCUCACCCAUGAUCACAAACCUCUCAAAUUCUGCCCUUAGUCCCUGGGGUAAGCUUUUUUUGUCUUAGAUUCUUUAUUCUAGUCUCACUCAUGGCCCUCUACCACAUCAGUCAUGGAUUUUUAGACGACAGCAUUGGAGCCGAUCUCAAUUCUUUCUCUGCCAUAGUGCCCUAGUUUAACGGUUAUUGAAUCUUGAAGAAGGUGUUUCUGGCAAAAAAAUAUUUGAUUCUAGAUGGUGAAAUCUGAGAAUAGUGAACUAGGCCAGAAACCAUGGCAUCUGGUUGUUUUCAGAUCUAAAAAAAUCUCUGCUAUCAAGAGGAGAGUUGGCCCUGAGAUCCUUUCUACAGAUGAGGAAACCGUAACUCAGCUAUGACCUGUUUGAAGUCACACAGCUAGAAUGUGCUAAAGUGGAGACUGGAACUUGGGUCUUUCCUAUCAUGCUGCACAUAAAAUUAUGGACCAUGCCUCAGGUUUCCUUGCCCUCUGCCUGGCUCCUCCAGAUGGUUAUCUACAGCAGACAGAACCCCAGCAGGAGCAGGAAUUGGGUGUGAGUGUCUUUAACACCAGUGGAGUCCUGCAUGAUCUGUCAGACCUGUAA
rnacentral:lncRNA from 1 species